AAUAUGAGCCAGUUAUUGUCGACACAGACUACAUUUACACAUCUACCUCCAUAAACAUCGAGUUUAGGUCAGAGGUAUGGCCUGUAUGCGACGAUUUUUCCAAGUUAUGGACAGUCGAUGUUUCCUCAUUCGCAGCCAAGGAGCCUGCCAUUAUGGUCGGUGGUGAGAAGAAGAGCCCAAAUAGCUUGUUUAAGAUAGAAGAAGCUACAGGAGCACACACUUACAAGUUGACCACCUCAUCUGGAACCAUUGGAGCCACCCUAGGGGCUAUCUCACAUGCACCACAGCUACUUGUCACCAAUGAUGAGUCUAAGACCUUAUUCGUCAAGUUCGUGAAGGUUGAUGAUGAUGCUACUAAGGCUACUACUUCUACUUCACGUGUUGAGAAGUUAGGUCUAAGGAUGUUCCCAUUCUACUAGUCAAGAGAUCAUGUAAUAUUGUAAAAAGCCCGAGACUCGUCCAUGGCCAUGAGUAAUGGGUUGAGAUAACACCCGCACGCAUGUAUGUGAACUCGUCUUUACCUUCAUAACAAAUCAAAUAAAUUUGUGUUUCCGGAGCUUUAUGUGAUAUAACUUUACACUUUAUAAAAAUCCAGUAGUCCUAAAUUCUAAUGACCCUAUUUCCGUCGCUUGUGAUAAAUGUAAAGUUUUUUUAUUUUUGAACAAAUAUUUGAAACUAUUGGGGGUCUUUGGCCGGCGUCUAUUAAUAUACAAGUAAUAGCAGAGAAAAUCUUGAUUGUGAGUUUUCUGUCGUCACCUAUUUGUUUCCUUGUGAAAAUGUAGAAAUCAUUUUGUGAUUCUUGUUUUAGCUAGUAAUUUUUUUCUAUAAAUUUAGAGAAACGAUUGUGACCAAAAACAAAGAUAAGGAUGUAAACAACCAUUCAUACAUCCUUAUCUCUCUGCAUUUAAACCUUAUCUUCUUCCCAUGAGUUAUUGGUAGUGUUAUCGUUCGUCUUUAAUUUGUAUGUUAGCUACGAUAUGUGAAUGGGAGAAAAGAGGGCUUACCGGUAAUCUCCCAUUCCCGCCGUCGAGUGAACUUUGAACUUUAUAAUUUCUUUCCUUAAGCUUUACAAUAGACCCUUACAAGACUUAUAUACAGAGGACUACUAGGGUUUUAGGAACAAUCUAGAUCUUAGUGUAAACCUUAUCUAUCCAGCUAAGACCUAUUGCUUUACACCUCAAAGCGACUGUGGGGGAGCAAGCUCGUCGUUCCCGUACACGCUCCUCUGUCUGUAGCAUAUGACCGUUGUGGUGAGAAGGAGAGGAGCUUAUUGGGUCUCACUUCAGCUGCAUUGGCUUGGGCUUGGGCUUCGUUGUCCUUAUGCCCCAAAGACUUCCAUUCACUAAUAUUCCCCCUCAAACCAGAGGUGGGUGGAGCACCAACUCCUAGUUUGGCACGCAGCUGCAUGAAAGCUCCCUUUGGCAAAGACUUUGUGAAGAUAUCUGCAAUUUGUAGAGUUGCAAGGAUAUGUCUUGUUUCUAUCAAACCCAAAGCCAUUUUCUCCCUUAUAUAAUGAUAAUCCGUAUCAAAGUGUUUGGACCUCUUGUGUAGAGCCGGGUUAGCACUUAGAUUGACGGCUGAUACGUUGUCACACAACAGCAAAGUAGACUGAGGUUGAGCAAUGCCUAGAUCACGCAGGAGGAAAGAUAUCCACGCAAUCUCCUGAGUUGUAGCCCCUAAAGCUCUGUAUUCAGCCUCUGUAGAUGAUCUUGAAACUGUUGCUUGUCUCUUUGCUGACCAAGAGAUGAAAUUUGGCCCUAGCAGUGUACAAAAGCCAGUUGUAGAUCUUCUUGUCUCUUUACAGCCUGCCCAAUCAGUGUCACAAUAGGCUGAGAGUUGAAGUUGCUCUCCCUCUCCCUUUUGAAUGUAUAAACCAAGCGUUUGAGUGCCUUUGAGAUAUCGUAGGAUGCGUUUUAGAAAUCCAAAAUCAGCUGUAGUAGGCGAAUGCAUCCUCUGACAUACAAAGUUCACUGCAUACUGUAUGUCAGGCCUUGUGAUUGUUAGGUACUGAAGCUUACCUGCCACACUCCGAAAGUAAGUAGGCUCUAAGAACCGUUCUGAUUCUUCAUAGUCUGGUGUUAACGGAAGCGGUGUUGGCAUUGGGUUACAGUCAGUCAUUGACGUAAGAUGAAGUAUCUCCUUGACAUAUGCUGACUGAUGAAAAAACAUUCCCCUUCCGUAGAUUGUAGCUCAAUACCAAGAAAAUAGCUUGGCUGACCAAGAUCUUUCAUUGGAAAACGUUUUCCUAAUGACUCCACAAGUGGUAGUAACAGAGUUUCAUCACUGCCAGUCAACAGAAUGUCAUCCGCAUAGAGUAAUAACACCAUUGUCUUCUGUUGUCCUUAUGGCCCAAAGACUUCCAUUCACUAAUACGAUACACCACUGUGCAUGUUCCUCGUGCUGAAAAUUGAAAUUUGAAUCAGUUACCGUAGAGUCUAGAAACCAAUCGAUGUCAUGGUAAUGAUCAUAAUGUGAGAAGAGGAAAGAGCCAAAAACGUAUUUAAAGCUGAUAGAUACCUUUCGGUUUUUGUUUAGCACAUAUGUUUUUUUACUGUCACACCACGCAGUUUUAAAUUUAACCGCAUAAACUUCCUAUAAAAACGAGUAAUGAUGCCCUAAGCUCGACGUGUCUUCCAAGGCAAUCAUUGGAGGCAGUUGAAUGCUUAUCAUUUGGAACACGACAGCAGAGAAAAGUUUCUGAUCGAUACCUUCACAUUCACAUAGGUCAAAACCCGAACUCAUUUGUAACAGAGAAGACUCGAUCGAUACUCGUUUUUUUCAUGAAGGCAGUCGUUAAAGGCAAUUGUGCUUGCUGAUCUUUGGCUUAUGGUCCUUCGUGUACUCCCAGAACCAAAGUUUUGUUGAGAGAGAGAGAGAACGAGACACAACUUCAUUAAUUGGUUUAUUUACAUAUAAAGAUUUGGUGAUGAGUUCCAUAAAUGAACAAAAAUAUCAAAAGAUUGGGACUUUUAUUUUUUUUCAAUAUCCUCCAACUAGAUUACAAAGUAGCUGCUGUUACGUAGUACGUACAUCAACUAUAUUCUUAUGUAGAAAAUACCUUAGAAAAAGCUAAGCGGCGAAGCCGAGAAAAGCUAAUCUUAUAAUAUGAUUAAAACAUUGAAAAGAAUCGUCCAUUUUACAGAAAUAGAAAAAUCUCAAGUGUUUGACCCAAGAAAAAAAAAAAAAAAAAUCUCAAGUGCAUACGUGAUUCUCACUGGAGCAACCAAGGACCACAGGGACAUGUGUCUUGCAACUGUGUAAUUCUUGAUGCCGUAUGCGUGAUUCUAAUCUCCGAAAACUGAGGAUAUGGUCCACAAAUGAUAGACAUUGUUUUUACUCUUCCUUGUCUUGGCUUCCUGUCGUUCUCUGGUUAUAAAUCUUGAUUGUGAAUUUUCUGUCGUCACUUAUUUGUUUGCUUGUAGAAAUCAUUUUGUGAUUCUUGUUUUAGCUAAUAAUUUUUUUAUAAAUAAAAUUUAGAUAAACGAUUGUGGCUAGAAACAAAGAUGUUAACAUUCAUUUGUUCCUUGUUUCACUCAUUCCUUAUCUCUCUGCUCUGAAAUCUUAUCUUCUUCCCAUUGUUAAAAAAAGAAAUUAAAAAAAAAAAAAUUUUAAAAAAGCUGAUAGAUACCUUUAGAGCAUCAUUAUCUUAGAGACCCCUUAAUUAAUUUUUAAUACUAUUUAAAUAGUAAAUUUGGUUAAGAGAUUUAGUUAAGAAAUUUCAACUUUUAUGUCCUCCUUCAUUGUAAAGUCUCUUAUUUACGGGUUCUUAAAAAAAAAAAAAACCAAAUGAGAGAGCUUCAAGUGAUAAAGGAGAGAGCUUUCAUUACACAAACCUUAGAGACAACAUGCUUUCAAAACAGACGCAAAGCUAAUAGAAUUCAUGAAGCAAUCAAAUAUGUUUGCAUGAUGAGAAGAGCAGUCUACAUACCCGUAAGCGAGCAACCUCUCCAAUUUGCAUUCCGAUAACGCCUUCAUCCCAUCCUGUAAGCAAAAGAUUUCAACAAUUUUAAAUUCAUAUUAGCUCUUGUUAUGGAAAGAAUAACAGAACCAUAACAAUAUGAUCAAACCACAAAACAGAGGAAAAUAUUAACUUUGAUGACAGCACGUUUACCGAUUUGGAAGGAGAAAGGCUUUUGCCCAGCGUCCUUUGUGUUAUUCAUAUACCAAAGUCCAAACACACAUUUAGGCUUAACGAAAUAACAAAAUUAACAAGAAAAGACAAAACCAUAAAGCAACAAUGUGUGUGAGAUGAUCUUUUUACCUCCAGAACUGCUGGGAUGUAUCACCACCUUUCCCUGAAACAAAACACAAAGCAUUACAAAUUACGAUUUCGAAACAAAGGGCAUAUAUAGAGAGUUUCAAUCUCAUACAAGAAACUUGUAUUAUUAUUAUUAGAUAAUUAAGCUUACUACUCCAAGAGGUCGAUUUAUUAUUAGAUCACCACCAGUUCAUCAACAAGUUCUCACACACAUACUCACUCUGAUCUCAGAACAUAAACCCUAAUUAAAUAGAUUUCUCCAGAAAGUAAUCGAACACAAAUAGCGAAACAUCCAACCACUACCACAUCAGCUGAGCAGAAUUUUUUUGUAAGAUCGAUUUUUCCUACAAUGGGAAGUUUCAAAGAUAAAGAGAGGUUUACCGAAUCCGGUGCAGUGAACGGUGACGGUUUGACCCGGGGCGGGUUUGGGACCGGUCCCGGGUCUGAUGAUUUGUUUCUCCGCUCCGUUGCCGGCGGCGCCAUCUCUCUCUCUCGCUGCGAAUUGGGAGAAACUGAAGAAGAGCUAAGUCGGGGAAGAAGGAGAGCAAAAGUCGCAAAAAGGGACGCAUGUUCGUAAGAUCCGUCUCUUGUAGUCUCCAAAUAAGAGACGUGUCUUCACAUAUAAGCUAAUUUUCUUUUAUUUUAAUUCCUAAAUAACAUAAGAACCCCAGCUAAAUACGGUGGAUAAAGAUGCUCUUAGACCAUGAUUAUCGGUGGUUUUUAAAGGGGUCCAUAAAGAAAAAUGGUGAUUUAAUUAAAUCCAAGCAAAAUUAAAAGAGAGUUAUCGAUCCUUAAGAGCAACUUCAAUGGUGUUACCCACCAUUGGAGUCCGUAGGAUUAUAAUAGUAUUUUUUAUGCUUUUUGAAUAGUUAAGGAUUUGAGUCUAAAAUGUAUGCCCAAUGGUGUUACUCAAAAUGAAAUCCUUAGGAAUUUAAAAUUAUGGCUGGGUUUUUCACUAUCGCAAAUCGAGCUUGCAAUACACCAAAAGCACGCUCCACAUCUUUUCGGGUAGCUUCUUGAACUUUAGCAAAUAACUCUGCUUUAGGACCUUGAGGGAGUGUGAUAGAUUGGAUAAAUGUUGACCAUUUUGGAUAUAUACCGUCCGUGAGGUAGUACGCCAAAUCAUAUUGGUGUCCGUUGACCAUGUACGUUACCCUUGGAGCUCGACCUUCAUAAAUGUCAUCAAAUACAGGUGAUCGAUCAAGGACGUUAAUAUCGUUUAAGGUACCUGGAGAACCGAAAUAAGCGUGCCAUAUCCAAAGAUCUUGUGACGCUACAGCCUCCAAAACAAGUGUCGGCUUUCCUGAUCCACGGGUGUAUUGUCCUUUCCAAGCGGUUGGGCAAUUUUUCCAUUCCCAAUGCAUACAGUCGAUGCUUCCAAUCAUCCCCGGAAAGCCGCAGAUCUCUCCAAUAUCGAGUAAACGUUGAAGAUCCUCAGGAAUGGGUCUCCAUAGAUAUUCUUCUCCAAAUAAUAGAAUGACGGCAUCUGUGAAAUGGGUUAAACAUGAAAGUGCGAUGCUUUCACCGAGUCGGAGAUACUCGUCGACGGCGUCAGCCACACAGCCAUAAGCAAGCAUACGAAUAGCCGCCGUACACUUUUGUAGUGUAGAUAGACCCAACCGUCCGACCGCAUCUCUCCUUUGCUGAAAGAAUGGAACAUUUGCUGAGAGGGUGUCGAUAAUACGCAUGAAUACUUGCUUGUUCAUGCGAAAACGACGUCUGAAUAAAUUUUCCGGAAAUGACGGAUUUUCACUAAAAUAGUCAUUCCAUAGACGGUUAUGGCCCGCUUCGCGGUUUCGUUCGACAUAUGCACGUUUCUUCUUUUUAUCUGCUUGAUUCUCCACGAUGUUGUUGUAUGUGUCUUCAAAAUAUUCAUCAAAAGCCUCAUUGACAGCCGCAUCGAGUCUUCGGUCGACUUCAUCUGCCAUAUUUGCCUAUCCUUCCUUCAAAAAUUAUUUAGAUUAAUGAAGAAAACAUUUCAAUCUUACAAAAUUGUGUUUUAGCAUAUUUUUUAAAUCUAAAACCGUUCUCUACAAUUAUAGAAUGUGUUUUUCUAAAUCAUUAGCUCAAUUACUAGGAACACUUUAAAUUUAUGAAUACAAUUCUACAUGAAAUUUUAUAUUGAGGCUCAAUAAUGUUGUAGUUUAUCAUGUUGUCAAAAUUUUGAGGCGACAUAGAUGUAGAAAAGUCAGCAUACAAAAUGCAAAGCACGUAAAUAUUACAGGAUGCAGUGGGAUGAGUGGAGCCUUUUUGUGUAUCGAUUGAUUGUAAUGGUUGUUGUGUAUCGAGCCUUGUUUAUUAUUUUGGUUUGUAAAUAUGUAGUAGAAGGCAAAGAAGAGCAUAGGAAACAGAAAACACUAAAACAUCAUUUUACAUCCGUUUUUAAGACAAUACAAGGAAGAAGAAGCACACUUGGUUCACUAAACAUCCGAGUCUACAAAGAGACUUAUAAAGGCAACAUGGUACAUGACUUGGUCCACAUCAAAAUACAAACAGAAAGAUACAAAUAGCCCGUGACUUGGUUGAUUUCUAAAUAACAGGAGAAAGAGACAAACCACCCGUGACUGAAAAUACAAACAGAAAGAUACCAGCUUUAGUCUUCAACAAGCACAUGGUCUUGUACUUCACCUGAGACAGAGGAAAAUCACGUGUGUAAGCAGAGGAUAAUCACGUAUGUAAAAGUGAAAUGACAACUACACUUGAAACUAGUCUAAUGCAAACAUGUGAAACUAAGGUUAGAGCUAACAAACCCUACAACAACUCAGACAGAAGUUUCAUUUUGAGAGCUGAUUCCAUCUCAGAGAGAGGCUCAGACUUUGCAAGCAAACACUCUAGCAAACUUUGCUUUGAGAUUUGUUUUUUGAUCUCCAACAAAUUCUCAAGCUUUGCCAAUUCUUCUUCUUUUCCAGUUUUCUUCCUCUUUUUAGCAGCCUUCGCAGCCUUAACCCCAACUGGUCUCUCCUCUGGCUCUGGCACUGUCCCUUCGCCAUCAACAAGAUCCACUGGUUUGCGCUUUUCCUUCUCAAGAUAGGUGGAGCACCACUUCACAUCAUGCCUAAGCUCUCUCCACGCGUGUUCCAAGUUGAACUUCUGGUUCUGGUCGCUGUGGAAGAUAUCCAAGGCUGACUUCAUCACAUCGUUGUCAUUUUGCCCGCUCCUCUGCUCCCUCAGUGCCAUGUCGUAACAUCCAGCAAAUUUACAGACCAAAUCAUUGAUCCUAGCCCAUCUUUGCUUGCAUUGCCCAAGUUCUCGAGGGAUAGUCCCAACCAGAAGAGGACUAGCGUUGUAUUACUCUACAAUUCUCUUCUAGAAGGCUCCAGCUUUUUGUUCAUUACUCACUAUUGGGUCUUUGCUGGUGUUGAGCCACACACCUAUGAGGAUUACAUCCCCUUUCGGUGACCACUUUCUCCUCUCUUUGACACUAGACUCAUCACUACUUUGACCGGAAAAAAAAGGUUGUGAUGAGCCAAGGUCAAUUGACCCUUGGCUCGCUAAUAGGUUAACAUAACCAUUAUUAUUUGCCAUUUACGAAGAAGUCUGUGUUUCUCUUGUAGAAACACAGAGGAUUAAAUAAGGGAUUCUCCAUUAACAGCAUUGAAGCGUAGUGGAAAUCUGUCCUAUCAGAACAGCUCACGACCUUUAAAUGAAUGUUUUAGUCUAAAAAGAAGCAGUUAAGGCACAAUUUAAUGAUCGUUUCGUGGGAAUUUAAACUACGAAGUUAACCUUAUUUUCAAACUACAACGUUAACCAGUGAAAAUCCUAGUUUGGUUUCAAACUACAAGGAGACACACCCCACUAUCCUAGUUUGUUUUCAAACUACAGAGUUACACACACAUGAUCCUACUAAAUAUUUAAACUGUUGAUUUAAAGUGUUCAAAACACUAACCUCAGCGGACUCUCUCAAGUUCACACACACGCUCAAGAAGCAUCUUAACCUGAACAUGAAGAGACAUCAGAGACAAAACAAUAUGUUAGAAAGAUUGUAAAAAUUAGUUUCAACGUUAAGUAAGAAACUAACCUUAAGCGCCUCGCACUCGCGCAUGAGCUUCUCCUGCUCGAGAAACUUUAGGUUGAGCCUCUCAAUCUCUUGUUGCACACCCAUUACCCAUGGCUGCCUAAAAUGCAGCCCGUCGUUCUGCCAAAACAUAAAAUUCAUAAGCAAACAGCAAAACAAUUUGGAGUAUAAAGAGACAGAACAUUUCGAACCUGGUAGUCUGUGCAGAUGAAGUAUCUUUUCCUCGGGAUGUAAUCAUAUGUAUCAUCUUCGUCGACAAACUCCUUUGUGAUAGAUCCACAGGGGCACAGCUUCGGAAUUCCCUGUUGGGCAUCUGAAACGAAAUGAAGCAUGUUGUAGUACGCUUUGUGUGCUUUCAUGUCUCGCAGUUCGUCCUCCAUUUAGAACCUAAAAGAACAAAAAAAAUAUAAGCGAAUCAUCAAAAGCCCCAAAUUAUAAAACCCUAAAUCGAUUUAUAAAAGCCAACAUCGAAUGACAGCUCAAUCACGGACCCUUAAAUCCUCCAAAAUAACCAAGAACAAUAUCGAAAAGAAGAGAUUGGCAAACCCCGACAGAAACCCUAAUUCGAAUUUAAUCCCCAAUCGAUAAUGAAACCCGAAAUCUAUUGAAACCCAUGAAUCGAAUCCAUAAAAACAGGAGAAAUCUACAUGCAUCUACUCCAUAAGAAAGAAUAGUGAGUUUAAACGGUCGGAUUUGGCCGGAUUUACCUAAAACGAAGCAGAUCGCUGAAUCACCUUUGUCGUCGCCUUUAGAGAAGGAGAAGUUUUUUUUUAGCUCGAGCCGCGUAAAUGAAACUUUCCCUUCCCCCAUACGAAACGCAACGCUUCACCCCACCAAUCAGAUGUUGCCAGCUCAUUUAGGAUCAAAGCCAAAAAAUCCUUAUUUAAGGAUUCUUUCUUAGCGUAAGCUAAUUUAAUAAUAUUAUUUUCUCCUAAAUUGUACUUAGCGCUAAGGAAUAGGUUACAUCCCGCGUUGCAUGUGGUCUAACGGGGCACUUUGGUGACCGAUUUUAAGAACUACGUGUCAGUCCCACAGAUUUUUUUUUUCUUUUUUUCUUUUCUUUUCUAGUUGUUUCGUUUACUCCGUCACAUAAGAAGGAUCGAUACAGACGACGGAUUACGACUCCCUCGGUUGAGUCGACGUCUCCUCCGUAUCUUCAUUUGUUAUUGUUACCUUCGCGAAGGUCUUUUCGUUAAAGCUUCGAAAAGCGACGAUGGGUUUUGUUCAGCUCCUUCGAUCACUGAAUCAGACGAGAAGCCAAAACCCAUUUACUGGAAAAGUCACGAAUCCAACACUCUCUCCUUCACACCUCCGAGGUUCGAAAUGUUUUUCUUUACAACAAUCGUAGUCUCUAGCUUCGUGUCAUUGAAAGUUUGAUACUUUUGUCGCUUAACUUCUAUUUCUUGUUAGAGAUUGGUUUAGUGCUUAGUCUGACAGAAUUUCAAGCUCUUGUAUUGCUCUUAACUUCUAGAAGAUCAUAUUGGUGCUGACAUAGUAGAUAUGAAAGCUUGAAGUUCAAUUCUUUUGGAUACAGAUUCGUCUCUUUUAUAAAAGGUUGUCCCUUUCUGUAUAUUUAGAUUAGUUUUCUAAUUUAAAUUUGAUACCGAGCAUUCUGCAUUUGGAUGUUUGUUGUAGUUGUUUAAGUGAUGAAAAGCUCGUGACUUUUGGUUUCUCUUGUCAAAGCUGAUCCACAGACCAAACCUAUGGAUUCUCCACAGCUCUUGUCAAAAUUUAUUAUUCAUCGUUGUUCUAGUUUUGGAGAAUUGAGUUUAUAUUUUUUUUCCUGCAGGUCAUUUAUCAGAUUAAGCUACCAGGACCUGCAAUACUAGGAGAGGUAAUUUCAAUUGUUCAAUUUGUAUUUGUCAUCGUGGGUUAUGAUUGUUUAGUUGGUAAUCUGAUUCAUUAUCUUUGACACACUGAUACGUCCUUGAAUGUGGUCUAGUUCUGUUGCCUGUUAACAAGAGAGGACUGUUACAUUCCCCAAAACCUGAUCUCUGUCAGAAAGUAUCAAGCUUUGAGCUUGAUGAUUCUCUAGUUCAUUGUGUUCUUCCAAGAUUUGAGGUAAUUUAAAUAAAUGGGUUCUCACUAGUUUCCCAUUCUUCUUCUUCUGAUCUGUGCUUAUAUAGUGGUUUGAUCUUUUGUCUUUAAGGUAGAAGAUGGAGCAGUUCAAAGAGAGGAAGUUCGCAGAGAAUGUGGUAAAGGUUUCACUUCUUCUAAAGCUAUUUGUGGUCACAUGGCUUGUCACUUUGAGAGAGAGAAGAGGGUGUCAUGUUCUCAUUUUUUUUCAGGUCAAGAAGAGUGUAAAGUCAUCAGUCAUCAGUCACGGACUUGUGUAGUAAUCACUUGUGCAAUGCUUACGUACUAACUCUUGUAAUCUUGUAUUCUUGCAAACUCUUGUAGUCAUCAGUCAGGAGUUGUAAAGCUUUGUGUCUAUAUAAACUUGUGAACUCUUGUAGUCUUGUGAACUCUUGUAGUCUUGUCUAUAUAAACUUUGUAUACCAAACUUUUAUUCACAACACAACACUCUUCUUCAUUCAUCACACAUCUUCUUUCAAGUUCCUUCUCAAGUUUUUUUUUGAAAACAAGUUUCAUAAACAAGUUUAUAAACAAGUUUCCUUCGACUUGUAAACAAGUUUUAUAAAAAAAAAUUAUCUCAUGGUUUCUUUUUCUUAAAACACUUUUGAGGGAUCACUUGAUGAAAAUUUUGAUCAAACUUUUGAGAAUUUUUCCAUUCAUUUACCUUUGAAAAUUUUUCAAUUCAAGCUCGGAUUUUUUUUUCGAAUUAUUUUCGAUUAUUGUACUAAUCUUUGUUAUUAUGUAUUUUUUUAAAUCUAUGUUUUAAAUGUUAUCUUUUUAUAGGUUUUAUUUAAUAAAUAAAAUUUUAUUAAAAAUAAAUAAUUUUUUUUAGAACCCCUAAUUAAGAAACUCUCAUUGGACCGCUCAAAAUGGGAGUUUCUUAACUAGAGUUCUUAAUCUCACUUAAGUAUAUUUAAAAUAUUAAAUAAUCAUUAAGAAACCCACUUAAGGAUCAUGGGAUAAUCAUGCUCUUAGGUUUUAUUUACCACACGAUUUUUUUUGAACUGUCACAUGCACCACACAGUUUUAAAACUUAACCGCAGAAACUUCCUAUAAAUACCUGUACAAUGUGUGUUGCUCUCCACAACUCAACUCACUCAAAUCCUAAAAACACACACAAAAAAAGAAAUUAAAAAAUAAUGAAGAAUCCUUCGGUGACCUCUUUUCUCAUCACUCUCCUCUUGUCUGCAGCUGUCUGCGCCCACGGCACUACACAGAUCGACGGAACUCCAGUUAAGGUCGGGGAAAAAUAUUUCAUGCUGCCGGUUAAGACAGAGAAUAACGAUGGAGGUGGUCUUGUUCCAGCCGCCACCAACAUACUUCCCUCUUGUCCACUUGGCAUCACCCAAACACGUCUUCCGAACCAACGGGGCAUCCCCGUUAGCUUCCGAUAUACAGAAACUAUCGACAGAGACUACGUUACCACAGACACCUCUAUAAACAUCGAGUUCAUGUCGAUGACUCCUCAUCUGCCAUUAUCAUCGGUGGUAAACACAAGAGCCCAAAUAGCGCGUUUAAGAUACAAAAUGUUACGGUAGAAGAACACACUUAUAAGUUGACCACCUCAUACGGAACCGUUGGAACUACCCCACCGCAGCUACUUGUCACCAAUGAUGAGUCUAAGACCUUAGUUGUUCAGUUCGUGAAGGCUGAUGAUGAUGCUACUAAGGCUACUUCUCGUGUUGAAAAGUUAGGUCUAAGGAUGUUCCCAUUCUACUAGUCAAAGAUCAAGAUCAUGAAAUGUAAGAAUCCUUGAGAACUCGUCCAUGGCCAUGAUUAAAUGGGUUAUAGAUAAUACCCGCAGGUAUAUAUGUGAACUCGUCUUUACUUUCGUAAAUAAAUCUCAUGAAUUUGUGUGUUUUCAGCGCGUUAUGUAAAUACCCGCACGUAUGUAUGUGAACUCUGUCUUUACUUUCAGAGUAUAAGUUUAUGUUUUCCGGCGCUUUACGAGAUAUGUACCUUUUACAUUAAAACGAUAUCCGAUAAUCUAGUACUAAAUUCUCAUGACAUAUGCAUAUCACCAAUGAUCCUAAAUCUAUUUUGGGUAAACCUAACCUCUGUUUUUAAAAGCUCUGUUCAUCAAGAGUUACUAACAAGGUAUAUAUAAUAUAUAGGUUACUUUUACCUCAAGAAUCUCUAUUCUUCUUCUGUUUUAUCAAAAUCUUGAGUUUGUAUAAUGAUAUUCUUUUUUUUCUUUAAUUUUGUUACAACGAUGACUAUCCAUUUGAUUCAGCAUGAAUGCCUAACAAAAAGCUGGACAGCUCAAUGAUUAUUUCACCAAAAAGGAGAAAGCUAAAUCCAAUACUCUUCUUAAUCUACCAGGUUUAGAUGAUGUCUUAGUUAUCUGAUCCUCCAUUAGCCUCUCCACGUCUGGUCUCAUAUCAUGAACCAUUUUAACCGACUCAGAGAGACGGUUGAGCAAGUUCACCAGUGCAAUCACCUCAUUACGUUGCAGUUGAAGCUGGAAAAAAACAAUAUUUCAGAUAAUCAAAAUGCUUAUGUUCAAAACGAUGCAUAUACACAUUAAGAAACUCACUGUUUGGUCACCCUCCUUGUCUUGGUUUCCAACAGAGAAGAAUAUUUUCAAUGCUGUCCCUAGACCCUGAACCUGAAGCUUCCCCCAAAGCCGACAUUUUUCACAACCUACACAGUCCAUCAGUGCACUGCAAACACAUACAUAACUUAUGGUUAGCCGACAUAUUAAAGCUCUAUGAGUGUGUCGUUUUCAAGUAAACACAAACCUUAUAUUCCUGAAUUUUUUCUGGAUCUGCUGCUUCAGUUCAGGUCCACCUUGACCUUGCCACAGCUUAGCUUCAUCAAAAGGAACAGGACAUGCUGUUUGGAGUUUCGGACUGUACAACAACUGUUUGAUCAAGGACUGUGUUUUCAGAUCUUCCGCAUGGUUCCCUGUGUCAUACUCUGCUUGCUCCAAGUACUCUGUUGCCUAUACGUUGUAAGAGUCAGUAAAGCUUGUUCAGAUUUGGCAUUUGUCAAAGACCGACAGAAGAGAAGUUAAAGCACGCAGCACAAACAGAUACGUGAAGUACAUGUUUCUGACACGGUCCGGAUGCCUCAGAAUACGAUCAUACAUCAGCUCGAUGUUCUGUCCCCACUGGUUGCGUGACUCGUCAAGAAGAUAAUCACCAGCGAUGUGCGUGGGGAUUGAAGAAUGAAGACCUGAUAUCAGUUUGUACAAAACCUUUUUCUCUGGACAUGUUUCUCCAGACGAAUCUGCAUGUACAAACAUCAUCACAUUACAAGUCUUUCAUCUCACAAUACUAAAAAAAGCGAUGGAGAAGGAGAAACUCACAUUUUGGGCAGUUCUCUGAGUAUAUAGAGUCCCAAAUCCUUCUAGCAGAAGGUCCAGUGUAACCAGUUAAAUUAUGAAUGCAGUUUACAAACAAAAAACAAAAAAAAAGAAAAAAGAAAAAGGAAAAAUAAACACUUUCACUAUGAGAAACUUCACCAUUGCGCUUGUCCUUAACUAGUUUUAAAUCAGUAUCUUAUCAAUAAAGAAGUUGGAGAAAAUUAAACACUUUCGCUAUGAGAAAUUUGAAACUACUAACAAAUGUCAUGGUAAAGUGGUUCACUUAAGCCUUUUUACAUAGUGAAAGUGUUUAUUUUUCUUUUUUCUUUUUUUUUGUUUUUUGUUUGUAAACUGCAUUCAUAAUUUAGAUAAAAGUAUAAAUACUAUAAAAUUUAUGAAAAACUUUUUUCUGAGAUUCCCCAGCAACAAAAAAUGAUUUUUGUUACAACCGAAAAACAAUUUCGAACAUACUAUUGGUCUAACUGAUAAUUAUCUCGGGAAUACUAGAAACAAAUAAGAAAAAAUGGAUGAGAAUAAAAUUAUGGGAAUGAUAAAAAAUGAUAAUUCUAUAUCAAAUUUAGUGAAUUUGUUCUUUACUUUUCUACAAUAAAAAAAUGAGAAAUAGCGAAAGGAAAUAACUAUUCUUUAUGAAUUGGUAAAAUUUAUCAGGAAUAUUAAAGAACACAUUAUUCAUCUUCGUUCUUUUGUCACCAUCUAUAUGUUUUCCAACACAGUUAUACAAACUAAAAAUCCUAAUUUAAUUUGGAACAAAUUAAUAAAAUAAUACAAACUACACCCUGAUCCGCGCGCCAGCGGGGGUAUGAAUUUUCAGUUUUUAAUUAUUUAUUUUAUUAAAUGAUGUAUUUGUAAUAUUCGUUCAUAUUAUAUUCAUUAAGUAAAUAUUUUUUUUUUGCAUCUUAAACUAUCUAUUUUUUUACGAAUGUGUGAUAUCAUAUAAAAAAUAUAAAAAAAUGAGUAUAGAGUUAAUUAGAUAAUUUUAAAAACAGAAAUUUUUCUUUCAUGUGCGAUAUCAUAUAAAUAAUGAUCCGCCCAGUUAACAAAAAUCAUGAUUAUUUUAUGUGUAAUUUUUUUUAUUUUGACCAUUUCCUUAAAACUAUAUUAAAUUUUACAUAUUUUAAUUAGAAUAUUUUUAAUAUCUUUACCUUUUUAUUUGAAAUGCAACUCAAUAUUUUUUUAACAAUUAUAACAAAAUAUUUAAAAAAUAUUUUUAGAAUUUGUUUGAAAAAUAUGAAAAUUAGAUUUGAAAUUAAAAUUAUCCUAAAAUAUGAUAAGUUUUGAUGUAAACGAAAACUCAAAUUAUGUCAAAAAUAAUGAUAUUCAAUGAUAAUAACAAUUUUAAUUGAUUAUUUUUUUAAAAAUACAUUUACAAAAAUGAAAAUAUUAUAAUUAAAUAUAAAAAAUAUAAAUAAAAACCAUAAAUUUAGCAAAUGACAACUGAGUUAUAUUAUGCUAAAAUUUUCUUUCUAACAAUUUAUCAAAUGACAAAUAAGUUAUGAGCAAAUAAUACCAUAUAUUUUUUACAAACAUAGCCAUUCUUAAAUAUUUUAUGAAUAAAUAAUUAUUUUUAAAUUUAAUCAACUGAAAAUAAUAUCCGUACAAUUGUGUGAGUCAAAUUGUAGUUUUAUUGAUGCAUGUUAUAUAUUAGUGCUGCAUGUUUUAGGUAACAUUUUAAUGAUGCACGUUUUUAAAAAUCUCUAUUAUUAAAAUUAUGCACGUAAGGAUAACUCAUGAGUUUUUUUGGUUAAUUAAAAGACAUUAUGUCCAAAUUUAUUUAAAGAUAUUUCAUUAAGAUAAUUGAAAAAGACAAACAAUAAAAUAGGAAGUUUAAAUUCAUUUAAGCAUAUUUCAUUAAUGUAACUGAAAAGACAAGUAAUAAAUUAGGCAGUUUUAUUCGUUUUAGGACAUUUCAUAAAUGCAACUGAAAAAGACAAGCAAAAAAAAAAAGAAAUUUAAUUAAUGAAGUAAGAACAUUUUCAAAUGGAUACUUCUCUUUUAAUAAUAUAGAUAUAAUGAUUUCUUCACUGAAUUAUCUAAAUCAAAUACCAACGCUCUAUGAAUAUCUGGGCCGAUAGAUUUACAUGGUCAAGAGUAGGAAAUUACAAAUCAUCUUAUAUAUUAAAAUAGAAGUCAUGACUUCUUACAUGUGUGAUUUUUUUUUAAUUUGGACCAUCACUUAGAAAUCUUAUUAAACGUAUUUUAUUAAGACUAAUAAUACAUAGAAUCUUUAAAAUACUUUAAUCAUAAUAUCUUAUAUAUUAAAAUAGAAGUCAUGACUUCUUACAUGUGUGAUUUUUUUUUAAUUUGGACCAUCACUUAGAAAUCUUAUUAAACGUAUUUUAUUAAGACUAAUAAUACAUAGAAUCUUUAAAAUACUUUAAUCAUAAUAUCUUAUAUAUUAAAAUAGAAGUCAUGACUUCUUACAUGUGUGAUUUUUUUUUAAUUUGGACCAUCACUUAGAAAUCUUAUUAAACGUAUUUUAUUAAGACUAAUAAUACAUAGAAUCUUUAAAAUACUUUAAUCAUAAUAUAUUUUGAUAUCUUUUCAUUUUAAGUAUAAAUAUAUUUAUUUUAAACUUCUAACAAAUCUGUUUUAAAAGAUUUUUACAAGAUCUUCGUUUUCGAAAUUAUAUUUAAAUAUUUUCACUAAUUUUGAAAUUAGUUUGAAAUAUUAUUAUACAUUAAUAAAUUCAGUAAUCGUUUAUAAAAUAAAAAAUAAAAAAUUCUGUAAUAUUUUAUAUAUUAUAUAAUCAUAAUCAAUCAUAUUAAAAGAAAAUUAUUAUAUUAAGCUAAAUAUAAUAAAAUUAAAUUAAAUUUAUAAAUUUUAUAUAUUUUAUAUAUAUUAUUUUCGUAAGUAUAAAAUAUUUAUGUUCAAAAAUAAAAUCUAAUACGUUGGUAAGAUGGGUUAACAUUAGCAAACUAUAUAAUACAUGUAUAAAAAUUAACAUGUAUUUCUUUAAAGCUUAUAAUAUAAAAUAUUUGUAACUACUUUAACCAUAAUAUAUUUUCAUUUUAAAUAUAAUAUAUAUUUAUAUUUUAUAUUUUAAAAAUUAUAAUAAAUCUGUGUAAAAAUAUUUUAGCAAUAGUUUAAUGUAUUUUAAGUUAUCGUUCAUAAAAUGAAAAAUAAAUAAAUUAUAUCCUAUUAUAUCUAUUUUAUAGUCAUGAUCAUGUUAAAAUACAAUUACUAUACUUAAAUAAAUAUGAUAAAAGUAUAUUCAAUUGAUAAAUUUAUAAAUUUUAUUUUCAUAAAUAUAAAUUAUUUAUUUUAAAAAUAUAAUAUGAUGAUAGAACGGCUUAAAAUUAGCAAACCAUAUAAUACAUGUCUAAAAAUUAACAUAUCUUAGACUUUUGUAUAUACAAUAAUAUAUUAUCUAAAAUGAAUAAGCAUAAAAAAUAUUAGUAAAAAGAAAUACAGCUUUGAAACACGAAUCAUAAUUUAGCAUAAAUUAAAUGCAAAAUAAUUUUCAAAUAUGUUUUCUCAUGAAUAUAUUAAUUUGCUUAAUAACUAAUGCAAAUACAAUAAGAUAAAUAUAUAAUAAGAAAUUAAAAUACAUACGGUUUUAAACAGUUGAUUAAUUAUAACAUGUAAAUUAUAAAAUUAUUGUAUUUGAAAUAGUUAUAUAAACAUUUAAAUAGAUAAUUAAUAUUAAAAAUUUAUAUCUCUAAUAUUUUAAAAUAAUAAUUUAUGUAUAGAAAAGUGAGAACAAACAUCCGCGCAAAUCUAGUUUUCCUUAAUACAAUACUGACCGACGAAGACAAAGACGCCGGCUUUUGCCAACUCUUCGUCGAAACCCUAGAAGGACCGGCUCUUACUUGGUUCACCGGCCUCAUAGAAAACUCCGUCGACUGUUUCCACGACCUCUCAACGGCUUUCCAGAUAAUUAAUAUUAAAAAUUUAUAUCUCUAAUAUUUUAAAAUAAUAAUUUAUGUAUAGAAAAGUGAGAACAAACAUCCGCGCAAAUCUAGUUUUCCUUAAUACAAUAGUCCACUCGAUCAGCUAAAGAAAGCACGUUUGCUCGGACCGAGUUGGGCCGUUUGUCUUAUUAGUUACGAAGUUCUACACAACCCAGUUUAUUUUAGGAUCCCUAUUCGAUUGAUGCCCUAAUCUCGACGUGUCUUCCAAGGCAGUCACUAGAGGCAGUUGAAUGCUUAUUAUUUUGAACACGACAACAGAGAAGAGUUUCUGAUCGUUACAUAGGUCAAAACCGGAACUGAUAUGUAACAGAGAAGACUCGAUCGAUACUCGUUUUUUCAUGAAGGCAUCGUUGGAGGCAAUUGUGUGCUUGCUGAUCUUAGGCUUAUAUAUUGGUCGCGGCUUGGAACAAAGACAAACUUGCAGCAGGAUUGGGUUGGGUGUUCUCGGGACCAGGGUUCGAAGCUCCAAUCAACGGAUCGAUGGUUGAAUCAUCGAUCGGCUCACCACUAAUCGCAGAGGCCUCUGCAAUCAGAUCAACCCUUUGCAUGGCGAUCACCUUGGAAAUUGGUUCUCUCGAGGUGCUCUUCGACGACUUAAUGCUCAUUCGAGCAAUCUCCAGCAUCACUCAGGCGAAGGAAAUCAUCGGUAUAGUGAAAGACAUCCAAUCGAUAUCUACUGAGUUUGCAUCAAUUUCCUUUUCGCACAUCCCACAAUCUCUCAACGCUAUGGCUGAUGCCCUAGCCAAAGAUUCUCUUCGCUGUAAUAAACAUUUUGGGCUUGGGCCCCGCUGGGCUCAUUCUCCAUCUUUUAUUUAAUGAAGCCUUUUAUGUGACAAAAAAAGAGCUUAUAUAUUGGUCCUUCUUCAUGUACUCCCAGAAGCAAAGUUUUGUUGAGAGAUAGGACGAGCAGAGCCGGGCCUGACCACAAGCUGGUCAAGCAUGGGCUUGGGACCAAUAUCUAUAUAAUCAGUUUUGGGGGCCAAUUUGGCAACAGUCUCUGUUUGUUCAGUGGAUGAAUAGGUUGUUUCAUUUGUCAAGGUCAUGGGUUCAAGCCAGCUUAAUAAUAUUUUUGGGGCCAAAUUUUUUUUGACUGCUUCUAACCCUAGAAAAGUGCACGGCCUUGAGGACGAGACACAACUUCAUUUAUUGGUUUAUUUACAUAUAAGAUUUGGUGAUGAGUUUUAUAACAAUGAACAAAAAUAUCGUUAAGAUUGGGUCUUUUAGUUAUUUUCAAUAUCCUUCAGCUGAAUUACAAAGUAGCUAUUGUGUUGUUAAGUAUAGCCAUAGUGUAUAUUUGUGUAGAAAAUACCUGAGGAAAAGCUAAUAGGCGAAGCCAAGAAAAGCUAAUCUUAUGAUAUGAUUAAAACAUUGAAAAUAAUCGUCCAUUUUGCAGAAAAAAGAAAUCUCAAAUGCACACGUGAUUCUCACUGGAGAAUCCUUAAUGCCGUAUGUGUGAGGGUUUUAGUUUCAAGACAAAUACGGAUAUGGUCCACUGAUGCAUAAUGUUUCUGCAUCUUCCUCUCUUCAUAAGUAUAAUUCAUGGAGACCACGUUUUUGCUCUUCCUGGUCUUUGGUUCGUGUCGGUCUCUGGUUAUAAAUCUUGAUUGUGAAUUAUCUGUCGCCACUUAUGUGUCUGCUUGUAAAAGGGAGUGGUUACGUCCAGUAUGUCCCCCCUUCUUCCCGACAUGCUAUGGUGCCCCGGGGUGGGUAGGAGCGGGUCGAGUCCGUAUCGCCGCGGAGCAACAGCCGCGUCCGGAUCAGAUCUAUCUACUCGGCAAUUCAUCCGGUGACUUCACGGUCGCCAAAGAAGCCCCUGGUCUUUGGUUCGUGUCGGUCUCUGGUUAUAAAUCUUGAUUGUGAAUUAUCUGUCGCCACUUAUGUGUCUGCUUGUAAAAAUGUAAAAGUCAUUUUGUGAUUCUUGUUUUAGCUAAUAAAUUAUUUUUAUAGAUAUAGAGAAACGAUUGUGGCUAGAAACAAAAGAUGUUUAAAUUCAUUCGUACGUUGUUUUCACUCAUCCUUAUCUAAGUCUUGUCAUCGUUCGUCUUUGUUUUCUAUGUUAGUUACAAUGGACCACUGUGCAUUUUCCUCGUGCUAAAAAUUGAAAUUCAAAUCAGUUACCAUAGAGUCUAAAGCCUAAAACACCAUCUUCUCAACUCAGCCCUCCCUGUACUAGAAACAAACCCAUAUCACGGGAAUUCAAAUCAGUUACCUUUAGUCUUUUUUACCACACAGGAUUUUUACUGCCACAUGCACCACGCUGUUUUAAAUUUAACCGCAUAAACUUCCUAUAAAUACCCGUACGUUGUGUUUGCUCUCUUCAACUCAACUCACUCAAACCCCAAAACACACACAAAACAAUCAAAAUGAAGACUUUUUUUCUAGUUACUCUCCUGUUGGCUGCAGCUGUCUGCACCCACGGCAGAGAACAGGUGAAGGACUCCAACGGAAAUCCAGUUAAGCGCGGUGCAAAAUACUUCAUCCAGCCGGCUAAGAGCAACGCCGGUGGUCUUGUUCCAGCCGCCAUUAACUUACUUCCGUUUUGUCCACUUGGCAUCACCCAGACACUUCUUCCCUACCAACCGGGCCUGCCGGUUAGCUUCGGAUAUGAGCCAGUUAUUGUCGGCACAGACUACAUUUACACAUCUACCACAAUAAACAUCGAGUUCGAGUCCGACAUCUGGCCCGUAUGCAACGAGCUUUCCAAGUUAUGGGCAGUCGAUGUUUCCUCAUCCGCUGCCAAGGAGCCUGCCAUUAUCAUCGGUGGUGAAAGUACGGCCCCAAAUAGCUUGUUUAAGAUAGAAGAAGCUACAGAAGCAAACACUUACAAGUUGACCACCUCGUACGGAACCGUUGGAACCAUCCCAGGGCCAUGGUUAAGUGCACCACAGCUGAUUGUCACCAAUGAUGAGUCUAAGACCUUAUUCGUCAAGUUCGUGAAAGUUGAUGAUGCUGCUACUAAGGCUACUACUUCUACUUCACGUGUUGAGAAGUUAGGUCUAAAGAUGUUCCCAUUCUACUAGUCAAAAUCAUGUAAUAUUGUAAAAAUCCUGAGACUCGUCCAUGGCCAUGAAUAACGGGUUGAGAUAAUACCCGCACGUAUGUAUGUAAGCUCGUUUUUACUUUCAGAAAAAUCAAAUAAUUUGUGUAUCCGACGCUUCAUGAGACAUACCUUUUACAUUAAAACCAUAUCCGAUAAUCUAGUUCUAAAUUUUCCUGACAUAUCAGCAAAGAUCCUAAAUCCGUUUUUGGUUAAACCUAACCAAUCAAAGUUACACCGUUCAUGAUAUGUAGUCGAUAUAUCCAGAGUUCCAAUCAAGUUUCUCGAAUUUUAUGAAAAACUAUUGUAGCUCUUCUAAAUGACAUUUCAAAAAUCCCAAAUUUCACCAGUAAAAAUUUAGGUCUGGGCGUUCGGGUCUUCGGGUUGGGUUCGGGCCGGUUCUUUUCGGGUCCGGGUCUUUUCGGAUCCUAAAUAUUUAGAUCCAAUAGGUACUUAGAAAUUUUUGGUUCAGGUUCAGGUCGGUUCUUCUCGGGUCCGGAUCUGUUCGGAUCUAUAAUUAAAAUACCCAUAAAAUACCCAUAAUUUUUCGGGUCCAUAUCGGGUCGGGUUCGGGUAUUUAGGAUCUGAAAAAGACAUGAUAUACCCAUAAAAUACCCGUAAAGCUUUAUAUUACUUAAAAAAUGUUAAAAAAUAACAAAUGUUGUUCGCAAAAUAUAUUUCAACUAAAUCAUAAAAUAAUACAUACAAAAUAGAACACAAAAAAUCAUAUUUUUAGAUAUACAUGUUUUUAAGUCGGGUACAAAUCGGUUCUUAUUGGGUCGGGUCUAUUCGGGUCGGUUCCUUUUCGGUUCCGGUUCCAAUUCAAUGUGCUUCGUUCUUCCAUGGAACACUGGAUUACUGGCCAGCUUGAUAGCACUUUGAUUAUCUUCAUAGAUGGUAAUCGAUUUAUUGAUUGGCUCGAACAAUUCUUCAAAGAGUCUUCGAAGCCAUAUACAUUCUUGGGCUGCGAGUGUUGAAGCUUUAUACUCUGCUUUGGUAGUAAACAAUGACACCGUUACUUGCUUCUUACUGCACCAUGAAAUGCUUGUGUCUCCACAUAAGAACACAAAACCCGAAGUUGAUUUUCGAUCAUCUAAAUCUCCACCAAAGUCAGCAUCUGUGAAACCAUAUAGAGAAACCUUGGCAUUAUACUUGUACAUCAGUCCCAUGCCAAGAGUUGUCUUCACAUACUUAAAUUUCUUCUUUGCCGCUUCUAGAUGUGGCUUCCUUGGUUCCUGCAUGAACCGGCUUACAAGACUAACCGCAAAGGCAAUAUCUGGUCUUGUAAUGGUUAAGUAUAGAAGACUUCCAACAAGAGAGCGAUAAGGUCGAGGAUUGGCUAACAAGGAUCCUUCAUCGCGUUUGAGCCUUAUGUUAGUAUCUAGUGGAGUAGAACGUACCUUUCCUUGGUGUACUCCAAACCUGUCAACAAUCCUUUUUGCAUAACCUUGUUGGCCGAUGAAUAUUCCAUCCUUUACCCUCUCGACCUCUAGACCAAGAAAGUGAUUCAGCUCGCCUAACUUCUUCAUCUCAAACCUCACCGACAUAUCCUCUUGUAGACGAGCAAUUUCAGCAUCGUCAUUUCCAGUAAUGAUCAUAUCAUCCACGUAGAGGAGAACUACUACAUGAACUCUUCCACUUCUCUUGAAGAAUAGGCUUGGAUCAGCACUUGAUGCAAUAUAACCGCAAAACUGAAGGAAUUGAGCAAGCUUUCCAUACCAAGCUCGUGGAGCUUGUUUUAACCCGUACAAGGCCUUCUUUAGCUUGCACACAUGGUUAGGAUACUCUUGUGAUUCAAAACCAGGUGGUUGCUCCAUAAAUACUUCUUUAUCAAGCUCACCAUAGAGAAAAACAUUCUUCACAUCUAACUGCCAUAAUUUCCAUCCAAAGCUUGCAGCUAAAGAUAAGAGUGAGCGUACCGUAGUCAUCUUUGCUAUUGUCUGAAGGUCUCAUCAUAAUCUUCUCCGUACUUCUGAGAGAACCCUUGAGCAACCAACCUUGCUUUGUAUCUAUCAAUGCUCCCAUCUGAUUUUCGCUUUAGUCGAUACACCCAUUUACAAGAAACAGGCUGAGCAUCCUUGGGUUUCGGAACCAAAUUCCAAGUUUUGAUUUUCAUGAGAGCAUUAAUCUCCUCCUUCAUUGCGAUCAUCUAUUCCUCAACUCCUUUUGAUUUUUCAUAAGAUGAUGGUUCAUUUUCAUCUAGAGGAGCCGCAAAGUAACAAGAGUAAUUGGUGACGAACCUUUCAUCUCUGAACCGAGCGGGUUUGACAAUGUUCCUUUUUGAUCGUUGAUUGGCGACAGAACCAUGAUCAUGCUCUUCUUCGUCGUGGUCAAGUGCAUACGUGAUUCUCACUGGAGCAACCAAGGACCAGAGUAUAAGGGACAUGUGUCUUGCAACUGUGUAAUCCUUGAUGCCGUAUGUGUGAUUCUAAUCUCCGGAAACUGAGGAUAUGGUCCACUAAUGAUAGACAUUGUUUUUACUCGCUUCCUGUCGUUCUCUGGUUAUAAAUCUUGAUUGUGAAUUUUCUGUCGUCACUUAUUUGUUUGCUUGUAGAAAUCAUUUUGUGAUACUUGUUUUAGCUAAUAAUUUUUUUAAAAAUAAAAUUUAGAUAAACGAUUGUGGCUAGAAGCAAAGAUGUUGACAUUCAUUUGUUCGUUGUUUCACUCAUUCCUUAUCUAUCUGCUAUGAAAUCUUAUCUUCUUCCCAUGAGUUAUGGUUCGUCUUUGUUUUCUAUGCUAGUUCGUCGUGCUAAAAAAUCGAAGUUCCGAUCAGUUACCGUAGAUGGGGAAUAAAGAGCCAAAAAAGUAUUUAAAGCUGAUAGAUACCUUUAGGUUUUAUUUACCACAGGAUUUUUUUUGAACUGUCACAUGCACCACACAGUUUUAAAACUUAACCGCAGAAUCAGAUCUCUUAGAAAUACAAAGAGUUUAUAAGAACAACUUUUCUUAUUAGCUUUAGAAACUACUCAAAACUAAAGCUCUCAAUAUGUUUCUCUCAGAUCAUAUGGAACACCUCUCCAUUAGACCUAUAUUUAUAUGAAAGAAAAUUCCCUUUAACAUGUGGGAUAUGGAAAACACAAACCUAACUUAAAUAGAAACUUCCUUUUCCUAUUUCUAGGUUUCCUUAUUGUGUUUAUCUUAACAUAUUAAACAUCUAAUAAUAUGUUAAGUUUCCACAAGCUUGGAAUUAUCCAACAUUCACCCCCUUAAUUCCAACUUGAAUUAGGGAGAUCAAUUUCUUGAACUCCGAUUAAGCUCCUCAUUUGCUUGAACUCAAUCAUCAAGUAAUCAUCCUCCACCACACCAUGGUGUGCGAAUCCACCCAUUGAAUUCACAUCUUUCUCAAGGUUAGACCGGAUGCUCUCCUCGCUUCCGUACCGCCUCUUCUUAGAAUUGGCCCAGUUCUUGUAGAACCUUCUCCUGACCUCUUCACUUAAGUUGCGAUGAGUCUUGUGGCUGAAGCUCACUGCGACGAUAACUCUGGUCACGUCCGCCAUCUUGCGUACGUGAGCUCUGGUAAGGAUGUCGGCCUUCUGCUCAACACAAGUGAUUCAGUCGAUACAGAGGUGCGCUUGAAGUGGGGGGUGUGCUGUCCCUAUUGGAGGAACCCCUUCCCCAUAAGGCCCCACCGUCGGGGCAUAAGCGCCCUCUUGCUACCCAUACGCGAGGCGCCGUCUUAGCCUUCCCUGACCAGGAUCGCUCCCACACCUGUAGCGUUCGUGAUCGGCCUACUCAACUGUGUAUCGAUUGAAGGGCAGGAAUUUCCCACAACCAAAGGGAGUGGUUACGUCCAGUAUGUCCCCCCUUCUUCCCGACAUGCUAUGGUGCCCCGGGGUGGGUAGGAGCGGGUCGAGUCCGUAUCGCCGCGGAGCAACAGCCGCGUCCGGAUCAGAUCUAUCUACUCGGCAAUUCAUCCGGUGACUUCACGGUCGCCAAAGAAGCCCCUGGUCUUUGGUUCGUGUCGGUCUCUGGUUAUAAAUCUUGAUUGUGAAUUAUCUGUCGCCACUUAUGUGUCUGCUUGUAAAAAUGUAAAAGUCAUUUUGUGAUUCUUGUUUUAGCUAAUAAAUUAUUUUUAUAGAUAUAGAGAAACGAUUGUGGCUAGAAACAAAAGAUGUUUAAAUUCAUUCGUACGUUGUUUUCACUCAUCCUUAUCUAAGUCUUGUCAUCGUUCGUCUUUGUUUUCUAUGUUAGUUACAAUGGACCACUGUGCAUUUUCCUCGUGCUAAAAAUUGAAAUUCAAAUCAGUUACCAUAGAGUCUAAAGCCUAAAACACCAUCUUCUCAACUCAGCCCUCCCUGUACUAGAAACAAACCCAUAUCACGGGAAUUCAAAUCAGUUACCUUUAGUCUUUUUUACCACACAGGAUUUUUACUGCCACAUGCACCACGCUGUUUUAAAUUUAACCGCAUAAACUUCCUAUAAAUACCCGUACGUUGUGUUUGCUCUCUUCAACUCAACUCACUCAAACCCCAAAACACACACAAAACAAUCAAAAUGAAGACUUUUUUUCUAGUUACUCUCCUGUUGGCUGCAGCUGUCUGCACCCACGGCAGAGAACAGGUGAAGGACUCCAACGGAAAUCCAGUUAAGCGCGGUGCAAAAUACUUCAUCCAGCCGGCUAAGAGCAACGCCGGUGGUCUUGUUCCAGCCGCCAUUAACUUACUUCCGUUUUGUCCACUUGGCAUCACCCAGACACUUCUUCCCUACCAACCGGGCCUGCCGGUUAGCUUCGGAUAUGAGCCAGUUAUUGUCGGCACAGACUACAUUUACACAUCUACCACAAUAAACAUCGAGUUCGAGUCCGACAUCUGGCCCGUAUGCAACGAGCUUUCCAAGUUAUGGGCAGUCGAUGUUUCCUCAUCCGCUGCCAAGGAGCCUGCCAUUAUCAUCGGUGGUGAAAGUACGGCCCCAAAUAGCUUGUUUAAGAUAGAAGAAGCUACAGAAGCAAACACUUACAAGUUGACCACCUCGUACGGAACCGUUGGAACCAUCCCAGGGCCAUGGUUAAGUGCACCACAGCUGAUUGUCACCAAUGAUGAGUCUAAGACCUUAUUCGUCAAGUUCGUGAAAGUUGAUGAUGCUGCUACUAAGGCUACUACUUCUACUUCACGUGUUGAGAAGUUAGGUCUAAAGAUGUUCCCAUUCUACUAGUCAAAAUCAUGUAAUAUUGUAAAAAUCCUGAGACUCGUCCAUGGCCAUGAAUAACGGGUUGAGAUAAUACCCGCACGUAUGUAUGUAAGCUCGUUUUUACUUUCAGAAAAAUCAAAUAAUUUGUGUAUCCGACGCUUCAUGAGACAUACCUUUUACAUUAAAACCAUAUCCGAUAAUCUAGUUCUAAAUUUUCCUGACAUAUCAGCAAAGAUCCUAAAUCCGUUUUUGGUUAAACCUAACCAAUCAAAGUUACACCGUUCAUGAUAUGUAGUCGAUAUAUCCAGAGUUCCAAUCAAGUUUCUCGAAUUUUAUGAAAAACUAUUGUAGCUCUUCUAAAUGACAUUUCAAAAAUCCCAAAUUUCACCAGUAAAAAUUUAGGUCUGGGCGUUCGGGUCUUCGGGUUGGGUUCGGGCCGGUUCUUUUCGGGUCCGGGUCUUUUCGGAUCCUAAAUAUUUAGAUCCAAUAGGUACUUAGAAAUUUUUGGUUCAGGUUCAGGUCGGUUCUUCUCGGGUCCGGAUCUGUUCGGAUCUAUAAUUAAAAUACCCAUAAAAUACCCAUAAUUUUUCGGGUCCAUAUCGGGUCGGGUUCGGGUAUUUAGGAUCUGAAAAAGACAUGAUAUACCCAUAAAAUACCCGUAAAGCUUUAUAUUACUUAAAAAAUGUUAAAAAAUAACAAAUGUUGUUCGCAAAAUAUAUUUCAACUAAAUCAUAAAAUAAUACAUACAAAAUAGAACACAAAAAAUCAUAUUUUUAGAUAUACAUGUUUUUAAGUCGGGUACAAAUCGGUUCUUAUUGGGUCGGGUCUAUUCGGGUCGGUUCUUUUCGGGUCCGGGUCUAUUCGGGUCGGUUCCUUUUCGGUUCCGGUUCCAAUUCAAUGUGCUUCGUUCUUCCAUGGAACACUGGAUUACUGGCCAGCUUGAUAGCACUUUGAUUAUCUUCAUAGAUGGUAAUCGAUUUAUUGAUUGGCUCGAACAAUUCUUCAAAGAGUCUUCGAAGCCAUAUACAUUCUUGGGCUGCGAGUGUUGAAGCUUUAUACUCUGCUUUGGUAGUAAACAAUGACACCGUUACUUGCUUCUUACUGCACCAUGAAAUGCUUGUGUCUCCACAUAAGAACACAAAACCCGAAGUUGAUUUUCGAUCAUCUAAAUCUCCACCAAAGUCAGCAUCUGUGAAACCAUAUAGAGAAACCUUGGCAUUAUACUUGUACAUCAGUCCCAUGCCAAGAGUUGUCUUCACAUACUUAAAUUUCUUCUUUGCCGCUUCUAGAUGUGGCUUCCUUGGUUCCUGCAUGAACCGGCUUACAAGACUAACCGCAAAGGCAAUAUCUGGUCUUGUAAUGGUUAAGUAUAGAAGACUUCCAACAAGAGAGUGAUAAGGUCGAGGAUUGGCUAACAAGGAUCCUUCAUCGCGUUUGAGCCUUAUGUUAGUAUCUAGUGGAGUAGAACGUACCUUUCCUUGGUGUACUCCAAACCUUUCAACAAUCCUUUUUGCAUAACCUUGUUGGCCGAUGAAUAUUCCUUCCUUUACCCUCUCGACCUCUAGACCAAGAAAGUGAUUCAGCUCGCCUAACUUCUUCAUCUCAAACCUCACCGACAUAUCCUCUUGUAGACGAGCAAUUUCAGCAUCGUCAUUUCCAGUAAUGAUCAUAUCAUCCACGUAGAGGAGAACUACUACAUAAGCUCUUCCACUUCUCUUGAAGAAUAGGCUUGGAUCAGCACUUGAUGCAAUAUAACCGCAAAACUGAAGGAAUUGAGCAAGCUUUCCAUACCAAGCUCGUGGAGCUUGUUUUAACCCGUACAAGGCCUUCUUUAGCUUGCACACAUGGUUAGGAUACUCUUGUGAUUCAAAACUAGGUGGUUGCUCCAUAAAUACUUCUUUAUCAAGCUCACCAUAGAGAAAAACAUUCUUCACAUCUAACUGCCAUAAUUUCCAUCCAAAGCUUGCAGCUAAAGAUAAGAGUGAGCGUACCGUAGUCAUCUUUGCUAUUGUCUGAAGGUCUCAUCAUAAUCUUCUCCGUACUUCUGAGAGAACCCUUGAGCAACCAACCUUGCUUUGUAUCUAUCAAUGCUCCCAUCUGAUUUUCGCUUUAGUCGAUACACCCAUUUACAAGAAACAGGCUGAGCAUCCUUGGGUUUCGGAACCAAAUUCCAAGUUUUGAUUUUCAUGAGAGCAUUAAUCUCCUCCUUCAUUGCGAUCAUCUAUUCCUCAACUCCUUUUGAUUUUUCAUAAGAUGAUGGUUCAUUUUCAUCUAGAGGAGCCGCAAAGUAACAAGAGUAAUUGGUGACGAACCUUUCAUCUCUGAACCGAGCGGGUUUGACAAUGUUCCUUUUUGAUCGUUGAUUGGCGACAGAACCAUGAUCAUGCUCUUCUUCGUCGUGGUCAAGUGCAUACGUGAUUCUCACUGGAGCAACCAAGGACCAGAGUAUAAGGGACAUGUGUCUUGCAACUGUGUAAUCCUUGAUGCCGUAUGUGUGAUUCUAAUCUCCGGAAACUGAGGAUAUGGUCCACUAAUGAUAGACAUUGUUUUUACUCGCUUCCUGUCGUUCUCUGGUUAUAAAUCUUGAUUGUGAAUUUUCUGUCGUCACUUAUUUGUUUGCUUGUAGAAAUCAUUUUGUGAUACUUGUUUUAGCUAAUAAUUUUUUUAAAAAUAAAAUUUAGAUAAACGAUUGUGGCUAGAAGCAAAGAUGUUGACAUUCAUUUGUUCGUUGUUUCACUCAUUCCUUAUCUAUCUGCUAUGAAAUCUUAUCUUCUUCCCAUGAGUUAUGGUUCGUCUUUGUUUUCUAUGCUAGUUCGUCGUGCUAAAAAAUCGAAGUUCCGAUCAGUUACCGUAGAUGGGGAAUAAAGAGCCAAAAAAGUAUUUAAAGCUGAUAGAUACCUUUAGGUUUUAUUUACCACAGGAUUUUUUUUGAACUGUCACAUGCACCACACAGUUUUAAAACUUAACCGCAGAAUCAGAUCUCUUAGAAAUACAAAGAGUUUAUAAGAACAACUUUUCUUAUUAGCUUUAGAAACUACUCAAAACUAAAGCUCUCAAUAUGUUUCUCUCAGAUCAUAUGGAACACCUCUCCAUUAGACCUAUAUUUAUAUGAAAGAAAAUUCCCUUUAACAUGUGGGAUAUGGAAAACACAAACCUAACUUAAAUAGAAACUUCCUUUUCCUAUUUCUAGGUUUCCUUAUUGUGUUUAUCUUAACAUAUUAAACAUCUAAUAAUAUGUUAAGUUUCCACAAGCUUGGAAUUAUCCAACAUUCACCCCCUUAAUUCUAACUUGAAUUAGGGAGAUCAAUUUCUUGAACUCCGAUUAAGCUCCUCAUUUGCUUGAACAUAAUCCUCAAGUAAUCCUCCUUCACCACACAAUGGUGUGCGAAUCCACCCAUUGAAUUCACAUCUUUCUCAAGGUUAGACCGGAUGCUCUCCUCGCUUCCGUACCGCCUCUUCUUAGAAUUGGCCCAGUUCUUGUAGAACCUUCUCCUGACCUCUUCACUUAAGUUGCGAUGAGUCUUGUGGCUGAAGCUCACUGCGACGAUAACUCUGGUCACGUCCGCCAUCUUGCGUACGUGAGCUCUGGUAAGGAUGUCGGCCUUCUGCUCAACACCCAACAGUUUUAUCUCUGGUUCGUCUUCAGCCUUUGAGAACCUUGACUCCAUUGGUACGUGCGUUGUGUUACACGCUUCCACCUUUGUGUCACACACUCCUAUGUGAGUCGUGUUACACGCUUCCAUCCGUGUGUCACAUACCCGUGUAUAUUUAACACCAGCCGAUCUAUCCACAGGCUCACACGUCUUGUUUCUUGUGAUAGAAUCCACCUCGGCUGCCAUAGCUUCAAAUAUAUUCUCUUCACCGAAUAGAUUGAACUCAUGUGAGGCAAACUCUCCUCCUCUAUUGGUGCAUCCUAGAAUGAACAUAGCUGAGGUAACUUCUCCUCCUCUAUCGGUGCAACCUAGAUUGAACAUAACUGAGGCAAGCUCUCCUCCUUUAUCGGUGUGAAAUCUUUUGAACCAAUAGAAUGCCUCACGAUUAUCUGCUGGCGUUGGUGGUGCGAUUCGCCCACAUCAAUCUCCAUGCAGUAACUCCUUCAUCGUCAUCGACAAAACCUGGAAGUUUAUCAAUGACAACAUCAAACAAUGGAUGGAUGUAGAUCCAAAGUCUUUGAUGCGAGGCGCAGCUGUAGUCACGUCGGCCAUCUGCUUUCGUGAUCUCUCCUCAUGUCGCCAUGAUCUAAGCUUCAUCUUAAGCUUAGAUUCGAGUCUCCAACUUGAGGCUCUUUAAUGAUGGUAACGGCCCAACCUGGCUCUGAUACCAAUUCAGAUCUCUUAGAAACACAAAAAGUUAUAAGAACAACUUAUCUUAUUAGCUUUAGAAACUACUCAAAACUAAAGCUCUCAAUAUGUUUCACUUAGAUCAUAUGGAACACCUCUCCAUUAGACCUAUAUUUAUAUGAAAGACAAUUCCCUUUAACAUGUGGGAUAUGGAAAACACAAAUCUAACCUAAAUAGAAAUUUUCUUUUCCUAUUUCUAGGUUUCCUUAUUGUGUUUAUCUUAACAUAUUAAACAUCUAAUAAUAUGUUAAGUUUCCACAAGCUUGGAAUUAUCCAACACAGAAACUUCCUAUAAAUACUUGUACAAUGUGUGUUGCACUCCACAACUCAACUCACUAAAAUCCCAAAAACACACAAAAAAAAAAUUAAAAAAUAAUGAAGAAGCCUUCGGUGACCUCUUUUCUCAUCACUCUCCUCUUGUCUGCAGCUGUCGGCGCCCACGGCACUGCAGAAAUCAACGAAACUCCAGUCAAGGUCGGGGAAAAAUACUUCAUGCUGCCGGUUAAGACAGAGAAAAACGAUGGAGGCAGGGGCGUGCCUUGACACAGCUAGUUGAAAUAAGGGUUUAGGGCCCCCAUUUUUUUAAGGCCCCCAUUUAAAAAAAAAUAAAUUAUUUUUCAUAAUUAUUUUUUGUAUUCAUUGUUAUGUAUAAUAAAAAGAAAAUAAUAAUAUCAACUGAACUAAAAAUCAGUUUACUAUUAUUAUGUCAAUGAAAAAACAAAAGAAAAAUAUUAGUAAAAAUAUCUAUCUAUAUUAAUAAAAUAUGGUUUUCUCUCACUUUAGCCCUCCACGUCAUCAGGAAGGAGGGUGCGUUUUUAGACACGUGGCAUUCUAUCAUUAACAACAUUAAGCUGCUAUAUCACGGUGAGUUGUUUAUUUGGGCUUUGUGUGCUGAUCUGAGGAAUGUGAUGGGCUAUUAUUGUUUUCCCUUAAGAAGUCUAUGUAAUAUUAGUGUUUGCUUUAUUCUCGCUUCUGUCGCUUGAGAGUCUCUACACAUCUCACAACCACAGGGUUUCGUCUCUGAAACGGCUUCCGUUAUUCAGAUACAUUAAUUUCUCCCACUUUUUUUCGAAUUAAAUCAGCCAUAGCUAAAUCAAAAGAAUUAAAUCAGCCAUAGCUAAAUCCAAGGCAACCGACUGAAACUUCUCCUUUAAAUGUCUUCAUUGUUUGGGAUGGACAGCCCCAACGAAACGAAAUCCCAAAGUCUUUCUCUGUCAAGCAUCAAAUCCAUCAAUGGUGAAUUCAUUUGCAACAGAUAUCACCUCCGAUGAAACUCAUCACUACGAUGAGAAGUGUUGUGUUUCAUCAAAGGAUAUUUCUUUGAUAUUGGUAAGUUAUUGUUCCUUUUGCUUUUUGAUUAAUUUAUACUUUCCAACUGUGAUUGAUUGAUUCUUUGUGUUUGAUGUAAUUUGCUAGCUUGCUUUGAUCACAUGUGCACUAGAACAUCCUCCAAGAACUUGCAUUGAUGACAGCUCUCUCAUUCCGUAAGCUCCAAAUCUCUCUUUGUCUCUUUGAUAUUAAUCAGACCUUUUUUGGCUUAUUAUCUUACUAAGAUUCUCUAUUUAUUUUUGAGUCUGUCUCCUUUUCAAGGUUGUGUUUUGUCCGGAGGUGUUAAUGGUCUGACUGAAUUUGCUUAUUCUUUUGUUUUCGUUUUGUUUUCUGAAUCAUUGUCGCUUGAAAUUGUAUUGUUUUUAGUGUUUUCAACUUUUCAUCUUCUGCAAUUUGUAUAUGUCGUGUUCUGUCAUACGUGAACAUGGUCUGUGAUAUAAUGCAGAAUUCAAUCUUAAGCUCUAUUGCAAAGUACGAGAAUCCGACCAUUUUUCACUGAGCUCGGUACCAUGGAUGUAAGUUUUCUCUCCUGUCUUUUGUCUUAAGUAUAAUAUCCGGCUAAAAAAGACUGACACAAAAGCUGCUAGCGAUUCCCAUUUCCAACAACUGAAUAGGCUGUUGUCACUUUUGAACAAAGAUCCAGCUAACGUGGAGAAACCGAGAUGCCAUAUUUAAGCGGCUACAGUUGUAUGGAGCUAGCCUAAUCAGAGAUUGAAGCAAUCAGAUGGUCCAAGUGAAACUGACAUCAUAUGCCGACUUUUUUUGCUUUGUUGCAGUACAUAUCCGAAAUAAAGGUAAAGUCUCUGUGUGUGUAAUCUGAGAUAAAGAUUGGAUGGUGGGAAAGAGGACAUGAGGGGGAAUGAUGAGGCUGCUCAUGGUUCUAAUCCGUUUGAUGUAUCGUGUUCAUGCCUUUGUGUUGAUCAUUCUGUUUAUGUACAACUUUUGAAACAUAGAGUGUGAGUAUGAUCUCAAGACGUGUAGACUUUUACAAUGAGUUCUACUCCUAUAACUUACCUGAUUAUUUUUUUCAUCUUGAUGAUCUCUUGAAUUCAAUUGUAUAUGGGGUGAUAGUGUAAGUUGUUCACAAUCACAUGUGCCAUUGAGAAUGAUGUGUCUUUUGCGAAUCUCUUGCAAAUGUGUGUGGUGAAUUGUUAUUGAAUGCUUUUUUUUUUGCCAUCUUCUGAUUCUCUUCUACUCCAGACAAUGUUUCCAACAAGCAUUAUCUUGGACCUGUGCAAUUAGAAGACAUGGCAAGGUAAACACUUAGCCUCUCCAUGUCAACUUUUAUUGAUAAAACACUUAGCCAUCUUCUGAUUCUCUUCUUUUUCAGGUUACAAAUGCAAACUGGAACAGCCUCAAAAUAUUUUUUUCCCGCUAGAGAUCCAAAGCUCUCUUUUUUCACAUGUUUAAUUUUUUUUUGUAGCCUUUACAUUGAUAAUCACUCCUCAAUAGAGGAAUGAAAUAAUAGACAGUGAUAUCGUGACACCAAACGUUAAGUGAAAUUUUACUUAUAAACACUUCUAUCAUAUAAAAAAUAUUCGACAAUAUGCAAGUACAACUAAACGAAUAACAAUUUUAAAUCAAUAGAAAUACAUGGGGGAAUCUAUAAAAUAUAGAAUCUGAAAAUAUUUUAUUUUUAUUAAGUUUUAAAAUGAUUUUGGAAGAUUUAAAAAUACUCUGAUUUAAGUUUAACUACUCUAGAAUCUCAUUUAUAAUUAUAAGAUUUAUUCUUUAGUUUAAACUAAAAACUUGACUAAAAACACUUUACAAUGACUGAAAACUACUACAAAUCACAACUUCUAAAUAUUUCAAGACAGUUAAAUAGUUUAUAAAAUAAAAAUCCAAUAACACUUUAAAAUUAAUGUUUAAAUAACAAAUGAUUAGUCAUUUUAAUUUAAAUUACCUCAAACUUCCAAUUAAAUAGACCUCUUCAAUUAACCAUGGUUUUAUAAUUCUAAAAGUAUAUUAUAAAACUAUGUGUACAAAAAUAUAUCUAUGAUUCUAAUAAAUUUUAAAAAAGUUUGCAAAGAAACCAUCAACUAAAAACAAAGUGAAAUUCAUCAAUUUAAGCAAUAAAAUGACAAAUUCUAAGCAAUUGUUAUCUGCUUUAAUGGUCUACAAUUUUUUGGUUGAUUACUAUUAUUGAAAAAUGAUUUUUUUUUUAUGAACUAAUAACUCUAUAAGUUUCUAUAGUCUGAGCAUUAUUAAUUUAUACAUUUUUUUACUGUAUGUGUAUUUGUCUACUUUCUUAAGCAAAUAGUUUACCGAUAUACACAUUAACACUACAUAAUUAAACGCUAAAGUGAACUAUUUUCUGUCUAGCAUAAAAAGUUAAUAACUUCCAUAAGGAAAUAUUAUUACACUUUAAAAAAAUAGCUGCAUCUACAUAAAUUGAUACAGCAGUUGAAUAUCAAAUUAAACAACAAUACCACCAAAAAAUAUUCAAAUCUAAAUAAUACAAAAGCCAAACAAUCCGCGCGUAGCGCGAAAACACCACUAGUUUAAAAUAAAAUAGAUCUAUAGUUAAAGAGUUAUUCUUGGGUUCAACCAAUAGGAUUUCAUUGUUUCAAAUUUGAUAUCUUUUAAAAUAGGAAACAAAAUAUUGUCAAGUUAUAUUAUUUUUUAAAAUAAAAAAGUAAAACAAAAUAGUAUUUUCAGCAAACACUAAACCCUAAAUCCUAAUCCCUAAACCCUAAACCUUUGGGUAAAUUCUAAACCCUUGGGUAAACUCUAAACCCUUGGAUAAAUCCUAAACUCUAAAUAAAAAAAAUACUAAACACUAAAACUCUAAACCCUAAAUCCUAAACCCUAAACCCUUUUGUGUUUUAGUGUUUAGUGAUAUUGAUUUAGAGUUUAGGAUUUAUCUAAGGGUUUAGGGUUUACCCAAGGGUUUAAGAUUUAGUAUUUAGGGUUUAGGAUUAUGAUUUAGGGUUUAGUGUUUUGCCGACUACGUUAAAAAUAUAUUUUUUGUAAUUAGUAUUAUUUUUUUAUCUUUUUUUUACCUUUUAAUUUAAAAAACAUAAUAUAAUUUGAUAAUAUUUUGUUUUCUUUUUUAAAAGAUAUUGAAUAUGAAAUAACACAAUACUAUUGGUUGGUGAACCUCUACAGAUCCCAAGAAUAAGUCAUAGUUAAAUAGGCCCCCAAUUUUUAUUUUUUUUGUCAAUGGCCCCCAUACCGACAGGGACGCCCCUGGAGUGGUCUUGUUCCAGCCGCCACCAACAUACUUCCCUCUUGUCCACUUGGCAUCACCCAAACACGUCUUCCGAACCAACGGGGCAUCCCCGUUAGCUUCCGAUAUACAGAAACUAUCGACAGAGACUUCAUUACCACAGACACCUCUAUAAACAUCGAGUUCAUGUCGAUGACUCCUCAUCUGCCAUUAUCAUCGGUGGUAAACACAAGAGCCCAAAUAGCGCGUUUAAGAUACAAAAUGUUACGGUAGAAGAACACACUUAUAAGUUGACCACCUCAUACGGAACCGUUGGAACUACCCCACCGCAGCUGCUUGUCACCAAUGAUGAGUCUAAGACCUUAGUCGUCCAGUUCGUGAAGGCUGAUGAUGCUACUAAGGCUACUACUACUACUUCUCGUGUUGAGAAGUUAGGUCUAAGGAUGUUCCCAUUCUACUAGUCAAGAUCAAGAUCAUGAAAUGUAAAAAUCCUUGAGACUCGUCCAUGGCCCGCACGUAUAUAUGUGAAAUCGUCUUUACUUUCAUAACUAAAUCAAUUAAGUUUGUGUUUUCCGGCGCUUUAUGUAAACACCCGCACGUCUGUAUGUGAACUCGUCUUUACUUUCAUAAUAAAUCAAAUAAGUUUGUGUUUUCCGACGCUUUAUAUGAGAUUGAGGUGGGGGCUCCGGGUACUCAUUCGGAUUUGGUUUAGAUCUAUUCGGGUUUUGAAUUUUUGGCGUGAAAGAUUUCAGUCUCAUUCGGAUAUUUCUAAAUUUCGGUUUUAAUAUUUGUGGGUUCGGUUCGGGGUCAAAGAUUUCAGCCCCAUUGGGAUAAUCUUUUAAUUUCGGUGCGGUUUAGAUCUUUGCGGGUUUGGAUAACUCAUUUAAAUUAUUUUUAAAAUUUUAAAAUUCAUUAUAUACUUCAGAUUUUUCAAAAUCUAUAAACAAAAUAAUAUAUUAUGAAUAACAUAUGUAAAAAUAACAUAUAAAUUGGUUUGGUUUGAAUCUUUGAAUAUAUAUUUCAAAUAUAUUUGGUGUGAGUAUAUUUUAAUUAUUGUAGACAUUUAUUUUUGACUAUUUGUAUAUAUUUUUAAUUAUUUUAGAUAACUUAAAAGUAUCUUAUAUAUUUUGGAUGUUUUUAAUAUACAUUAAAUUUAAAAAUAAUCAAUAUAUUAAGGUAUAUAAGCCUAUUUCGGAUUUAUUCAGGUACAUGAAAUACUUCGAUUCGGAUUCGGUUCUCUAGAUGCCAGAAUUUUGAAUCCGUUUGGAUGUUUCAUCAAUUUCAGUUCGGAUUAAGUACUAUUUUUUCGGAUCAGGUUCGAUUCGGUUUUUCGGAUUCAGAGUUUUUGCCCAGCUCUAAUAUGUCAUAUCCAGUAAUCUAGUUCUAAAUUCUCAUGUCAUAUGCAUAUCACCAAAGAUCCUAAAUCCAUUUUUGGUUAAAUCUAACCAAUCAAAGUUAAAUUGAAUUCGAAGCCCCUUAUCUUUAUUUGCCCUUUUAAACUACACCGUACAUGAUACGGAAAACUAUUGUAACUCUGUACUUGAUGACAUUUCAAAAAUGCCAAAUUACACUAGAAAAAAGACAUGAAAUUUUGCAUUCUUGUUGUUUUCUAAACAUUUGAAAUGAUUUGGUUUUCAUUCAAGAACAGAGACUGUCAUUACCAUUAAUCCAGGUUUGGAGAGAAGCAACAGAGUCUUGAAGUCUAAUGUGCAAGAAGAGACUAAAAGCUCCGUUUUUAUGUUUAUGUUGGAAUCUUUACCUCAAGAGUCUCUAUUUUUCUUCUGUUUUAUAACUUUAUCAAAAUCUUUUGGCUGAGUUUGUAUAAUGAUAUUCUUUUUUUUUCUUUAAUUUUGUUACAACGAUGACUAUCCAUUUGAUUCAGCAUGAAUGCCUAAAAGCUGGACAGCUCAAUGAUUAUUUCACCAGAAGGAGAAAGCUAAAUCCAAAACUCUUCUUAAUCUACCAGGUUUAGCUGAUGUCUUAGCUAUCUGAUCCUCCAUUAGCCUCUCCACGUCUGGUCCCAUAUCGUGAACCAUUUUAACCGACUCAGAGAGACGGUUGAGCAAGUUCACCAGUGCAAUCACCUCAUUACGUUGCAGUUGCAGCUGGAAAAAAAAAGAGAAGAAAACAUUACAGAUCAUCAAUGCUUACGUACAAGACAAAGCAUGUCAAGAAACUCACUGUUUGGUCACCCUCCUUGUCUUGAUUUCCAACAGAGAAGAGGAUCUUCAACGCUGUCCCUAGACCCUGAACCUGAAGCUUCCCCCAAAGCCGACACUUUUCACAACCUACACAAUCCAUCAGUGCACUGCAAAACACAUACAUAACUUACUUAGCUAGCCGACAUAUUAAGCUCUAUAUGAGUGUGUCUCGAGAAACAUAAGACCGAACCUUAUGUUCCUGAAUUGUUUCUGAAUCUGCUGUUUCAGUUCAGGUCCACCUUGACCUUGCCAGAGCUUAGCUUCAUCAAACGGAACAGGACACGCUGUUUGGAGUUUAGGACUGUACAACAGUUGUUUAAUCAAUGACUGUGUUUUCAGAUCUUCCGCAUGGUUCCCUGUGUCAUACUCUGCUUGCUCCAAGUACUCUGUUGCCUAUACACGUUGCAAGAGUCAGUAGCAUUGUUCAGAUUCGGCAUGUCAAAGACCGACAUGAAGAGAAGUUUAACUCACUUUAGUUACAGCACGUAGGACAAAUAGAUACGUGAAGUACAUGUUUCUGACACGGUCCGGAUGUCUCAGGAUACGAUCAUACAUCAGCUCGAUGUUCUGUCCCCACUGCAUUUCAAAGCAAAACAUGUCACAGUCAUGACUCAACAAGAAGAGAUACAAUAUCAGAAACACACAAACCUGGUUGCGUGACUCGUCAAGAAGAUAAUCACCAGCUAUGUGCAUGGAGAUUGAAGAAUGAAGACCUGAUAUCAAUUUGUACAAAACCUUCUUCUCUGGACAUGUCUCUCCAGAUGAAUCUGCAGAAACCCAUCACAUUACAAGUCUUUUAUCUCACAAUACUAAAACUGUUGUGAACAAACGCGAAUCAAGCUCGAAGAAAGCAAAGAGCAAAACGUAUUGAGGCAAAUACCCGUUUUAGGGUUUGUAUAUUAUUAUGUGAAUAAUUAACUUUACAACCCUUGGACUCAUAUUUAUAGCAGGCUCAAAAUCCAAUUUUCUUAUCCUUUAGGAUUUUUAGUAUUUUUAGGAUCUUUAAGAUUUAAGACACAUCCAGAUGCAACAAAAACGAAUAGAGAAGGAGAAACUCACAUUUUGGGCAGUUCUCUGAGUAAAUAGAGUCCCAAAUCCUUCUAGCAGAAGGUCCAGUGUAACCAGUAAACCUCUCAGGGUUUAGCUGAAGAUUUACAUAAGUCAUCUCACCUGAACAUUAUAAGUCAAUAACCAAUCAGUUCUCAAACACAUUGGUGCAUCAAACUGUUUUAGUUAAAACUACAUUACCGUUAUCUGUGUCAUCCUCAUGCGUCCAUGGAUUAUUAGUCUCCACCCAACCUCUGAACGCUAUGUUAUCUAUAGUACGGUCCACAGCAGCUUGGGGUUUCCCCUCUUGACAAAUCAAAUUAUCUGAAGGAAGACCUGCGAUGUUAUAGGGUCUUUUGAAAGGUUCAGGGAACUCAUUCUCUGGACAUUCGCAGACGCUGCAAUCACGUAAACGACACAUCCCAUCGUCUGGCCAGAACGGGCAGUCACACCACAGUUUGACCUGUAAAAAAAAAACAAUGUAACUAGCUGUUGGGGAAGAGUUAACAUCAAAAGAAAAGAAGAAUGAGAGACCUUGAAGUAACGGAAGAAGGGAGUAGCGACGAGAUCUUGAAGCAGAGGAUUCAAAACCUCACUGUUGAGAUUGUCCACUGUUUCGUAGUCACAGCAACAGUCCUCAACCAUGCCUUUGUAUUUACCACUUCCCUGUGUAUAUAUACCAACAAUGUCAUCAAAAAAGAUUCAGUUUUUUUUUUUUUAUUAUACUUAAUCCAAAGACCAAAGCUUUUGACUUUUUAACUAUUGUCAAUACUACGAAACAAAGUUUAUCAGAUUCAGACACGAACAUGUAACUGAGAUCCUUUUUUGUCCACAUUCCGUUAUAUCAGAUUGAAGCAAGGAGAUGGAGAGUAAUAAUCACGAACCUGAAGUGAGCAGCUGCAAGAAUUACGAUCGGUGAAGAAGGAACCGACAUUAGAAGCGGUUCGAGAGCUGACGGCAACUGCUAGUAAGACAACGACCAAAGCCGCCAAAGGCCAUCGCCAUGUUUGUCUCUUCCUUUCGCUUUCUUCUUCUUUGAUUGCGCCUUUUCCCAUAAUUAUCGUGAAAAGACACAAAAAGCAAAUCAAAUUGGGUUCAAAUAGAUCCUUUCACGGUAAACACGUUUUUUUUGCGUCUUUCGGACAAUUCUCAAAACCCCAUUGUUGUUUUGUCUGAAGAUCGACUCGGCUCUUAUUAAGCAAAAGUCAUGUAAUGUGGAUGCGUUAGUUUCAAUGCCCGCAUUUUUAAUCUCGUUUUGACAUUUCAGCGCGACGCGCGGGUUUGGGUACCACGCGCCUUUUUAAGUCGGAAUAUUUAUCUCGUUUGUCCCGUGACGUGCUUUAGCCAAUAGGAUCCAUUUAUUUGUUCCUCGGAGAAUAAACAACUUGCCCGUUUUAGCACGUCUCAGUCAACGGACGGUCGUUUAUGAUUUAGUGGUCGCCACGUCACCGGUUAGCCUUAACUUUAUCCGACAAACUCUCGAGUUUUAACAUUUUAACUGAACACAGUAUCUCUCAUUAUUAAUAACAAUUAAAAAAAA
rnacentral:lncRNA from 1 species